rnacentral:rRNA from 1 species
UACAGAGGGUGCGAGCGUUGAUCGGAAUUACUGGGCGUAAAGCGCACGUAGUCGGCUUUGCAAGUCGGGUGUGAAAUCCCCGGGCUCAACCUGGGAACUGCAUCCGAGACUGCAUUGCUAGAGUAUGGGAGAGGGAAGCGGAAUUUCUGGUGUAGCAGUGAAAUGCGUAGAUAUCAGAAGGAACAUCAGUGGCGAAGGCGGCUUCCUGGACCAAUACUGACGAUCAGGUGCGAAAGCGUGGGGAGCGAACAGG